UUUUUUUUUUGGUUCAUGAGUGUGAUUGGGUGUUCACAUUUCAUGACAUGUGCUUUCCACAAACCUUGUUAUGAAGUCAAAGUUGGCACAUUACCUGUCUCACA